rnacentral:rRNA from 1 species
AUUGAACGCUGGCGGCAUGCCUUACACAUGCAAGUCGAACGGUAACAGGUCUUCGGAUGCUGACGAGUGGCGAACGGGUGAGUAAUGCAUCGGAACGUGCCCAGUAGUGGGGGAUAGCCCGGCGAAAGCCGGAUUAAUACCGCAUACGACCAGAGGGGGAAAGGGGGGGAUCGCAAGACCUCUCGCAAUUGGAGCGGCCGAUGUCAGAUUAGCUAGUUGGAGGGGUAAAGGCCUACCAAGGCAACGAUCGGUAGUUGGGCUGAGAGGACGACCAGCCACCUUGGGACUGGACGACGGCCCAGACUCCUAUGGGAGGCAGCAGUGGGGAAUUUUGGACAAUAGGCGCAAGCCUGAUCCAACAAUGCCGCGUGCAGGAAGAAGGCCUUCGGGUUGUAAACUGCUUUUGUCAGGGAAGAAAUCUUCUGGGUUAAUACCUCGGGAGGAUGACGGUACCUGAAGAAUAAGCACCGGCUAACUACGUGCCAGCCGCCGCGGUAAAAC